GUUUGUUGAUGUUAAUGAAUGAAAUUUGAUGUCGCCCAAGCUUUUGGGUCUGAGUAGAUAAAUUUUAUACCAUGACGUUUGCCUUUGGUUAUGUUUUAGUGUUUGACAUGAACGGCAGCUGCAGGCAAAAGUGAAUCACGACAAGAAGAAAAAAAACUUGUGCAAACAUAAAAGGAAAACAAGAAGUUAAAUAAACCAAAAAGAAAAACAACAAAAACUUAAAGAAAACUAACGAAUUUCGAAGAAAUCCCCCCAAACAAAACAAAAAAAAAAACAACCUAAAGAAGUAACGAAGAAAGUGAAAACAGUGAAAAAAUAUAUAACUAAAACCUGGUGAAUCAUUAUAUAAUAAGUGCAACAACUUUUUGUAUAUAACAAACAAAUACUCAGAUUGAUUUAGAAGAAUUUAAAAAACCCAAAGAAAAAAGUGUAUUUUUUUAUAAAAACCAAACAAAGCUUUUAGAUUCCUAAUUAUUUUUGUAUGCUUAAAACGCUGUAUAAAAAAACGCCAAACAAAGCCUUGAUCCUUCCAUUUAACAAAGCAAAAGCAAAGUGUAUUUAGAAUACUUAACAAACAAAAAUCACCACAGUAAAAAAAAA
rnacentral:sRNA from 1 species